UUUUGAAAGGGAAGGAGAGUUGCUAGGAGACGCGUAGUAGCCGGGGCUAGAUUUGAGCCGAGCGAGGCCGCCGGCGGGGAAGGAAAGCCUGAGCACAUGGAGCCGUGGUGGAGCGCGGGGAGGAAGGGCCGUCCUCCAGCGGCGCCCAGGCGGCUCUCCCUCUAGUAGCAGCCCGGCUUCCUCCUCCUCCCCGCCUCCGUCCUCUCCCACUGCAGCAGCAGCAUGCGUGCCCCAUAGGGCCUGUGGCCUCCCUCAGCGCGCCAUGUGAGAGUAUUAGUGCCAGACCGUGAUGCAUCUGCAAGCUGUGUUUUACUCAUCUCCGUGCAGUAGAGGUUUCGUAUGUCAAAGAGUUUAAAGUAUGGCACCGAAGACGGACUUUGGCUGGAGCAUGGCCCUUCUAGCAGCACCGGGCUUGGUGCUGGAGAAGACUUUUGAGGGUGCCAUGGACAGGCCGGAAAACAGGUGGAUCAUAGAAGAAAUCCGUCCAGAAUUUUCACUCGAGACACAAAUGACCAGGCUCAAACUAUCAUAUUUUAGACACAUUAUGUGAAGACUUGAGAAGUCUAUAAUGGUGGGGAAAGUGGAAGGAAAGAGAAGAGGACGGCCAGCAGCAAGGUGGAUGGACUCGAUUAUGACAGCCAUGAAUGCACCACUGAGAGACCUGAAAGGCCAAGCUGAAGACAGAUCAUCCUGGAGAGAAUCUCUGUGGUCACUAAGAGAUCUGGAACAUUUACAUCCGGGAAAGCAAACAUGCCCAAGUUCCACUGAACAAGCAGCUGGCAUUCUAUAUAAUGCUCUAGGAUUUGUUCAACAUACAAAAGGCAUAAUACUUCACAAGCCUUUACAUGAGCAGUGGCAAGGCAGGGCCAAAGCCUACAGAUGUUAAGAUCAUAGGCAUCACUGCCAUCUUUUGUUGAAAGUGCAGAACUGCAUCUGAAGCCCGACUGGUGAUUCUGUUGUUGAACUGAAAUGGCAAACUCACCAGGUCAGUAGAUAUGAUCGCUCCUAAGCGCCAUCUCCAAUCCACUUAAGAAUUGGCCCCUUGGUACAGGGGUACCAAUUAAGAACUACAGGAGCUGAAGCAGCAAGGUAAGUGACUGGAGCACAAGUGGAGAAAGACUAGACUCAAAUCUAACAUUGCAACACAGAACACAUUUUAUGACAUAUACACAAGCAAUACAUGUAGCAAAGAAGUGAUUAUUUUCUGCCCAUAUUGCAUCCUCAAGCUCACAUCCAGCUGAGUUGUUUAGGGAUGUGCGAAGGCUAGUCAUUCGGCUCUAUCCUUGAGUCACACUUUGGAACCAUCAAUUACCUGCUGUGACAUUUUAAAAUGAGUUUUUUUGUGGAUUAAGUACUCUCUUAUUUGGGCCGACAGAUUCAAACCACACAAUCAAAUUUAGAGGUGUCCAGCAACUCUUAUGUGGUUAAGCUGGAUCAGUUUUAGUUUGUGGCUCUUGAUGAUGUGGGCAAGUUGCUUGGAAUGGGAUGGCCCAUCACCUGUUCUCUUGAUCCUUGGUGGCAUGGCUUAUACUGUCUGGCAGGGGAGGGCCUGGUAGAGAUUAUUAAUGCUUCUCUGAGGGAGGGCAGCAUGCCUUCCUGUCUUAAGGAGGCAAUUAUUAGACCGCUUCUGAAGAAGCCUGCAUUUGAUCCCUCAGAGUUAAGCAACGAUAGGCAUGUCUCAAACCUUCCAGAGUUGGGCAAGGUAAUUGAGAGAGUGGUGGCCUCCCAGCUCCAGACAGUCUUGGGGGAAAUUGAUUAUCUAGACUCAUUUCAAACUGGUUUUCAGGUGGGCUAUGGAGUGGAGACUGGUCAGCCUGAUGAUCUCCAACGAGGAAUUGACGGAGGGUGUGUGACUCUGUUGGUCCUUUUGGAUCUCCCAAAGGUUUGCAGUACUAUCGGCCAUAGUAUCCUUCUGGACCAUCUAAGAGGGUUGGAGGAAGUAGCAGCCGGAGGCACUGCUUUGCAGUGAUUCUGUUCCUACCUCUCAGACCAAUUCCAAAACUAGCAGGUAAACACCUUACAGCUCUUAUGAGUACAGACAAUGUAGGAAUUAUCUCACAAACUCAGGUAUGCCUAAGCCGAGUGCUGCGCUUGCAAGAUGAUUUCUGUAAAUCGAAUUCUCUUGAAAUCAAUUGUGACGAGACCAAAAUCAUGGUAUUUGUGAAGCAUCCAAAAAUUUGUAUGUGGUCAUUAAAUGGCUGUAGGCUGGAGCAGGUUAAUCACUUUAAGUAUCUUAUCUUCCAGGCUUCAGGCACCCAUACAGCCCAUUGAGACUAUACUAUACAGACUGCCCCAAAGAGCGCUUUUUCAAUUCAAUCUUAUUAUCGAUCAAGAGGUGCCCAAUUCAUCCCAGCAGCUAUCAAACUGUUUCAAGCUAAAGUACGUUCGCAGCUUCUAUAUGGUAUACAGCUGGGCAUUUAUCCUUGUUUUAAUACAUUGGAAGCUGUACAAUCAAAUUUUUCGAAACCUAUAUUCCAAGUUCCUGGCUGUGUGCCUAGAGCGGUUUUGCGACUUGAAGCUGGGAUGGUUAAAUUGGAGGCCAGGGCUUCGAUUGCUUUCUUUGAUUAAUGGUUAAAACUUACAUUUUGCUCCACAGGUCUAGUAUCUUUAGUACUAAAAGACAUAUACCAUUCUGGUUGGAUUAAGAAUGUGGAGGAUAGAUUAACAUACUAUGGUUUCUCUCCAGCUGCUAUACUAUCCCUAAAGUAUGAUACUGCAAGGACCAGGUAGCAAGAGAGAAUUUUUGACAUGGAACGCCAGAUUGAUCGAGGAGCCAUUCCAGCAAAUGUGUUUCUGGGUAGCCAGAUUUCGCAUUAUUCCCCGGCAGCAUAACUAUUUCACUUAUCUGUUUCUAAAUUUCAUUGGGCCCUGACUUUGGCCCGCUGUAAUGCUUUGCACACAGCAGUGCUGGAAGGAGGUUUCAUGGUAUCCCCCAGGAAGAUCAGGUGUGUCCAUGUGGUUUGGGAGAGAUUGAAAGUACAGCCCAUGUUUUUUUACACUGCUAGUUUUAUAGUGAUGCUAGAUUUGAGCUUAUUUGCCCUGAACUUGCCUUAUACCCAGAUUCGGAUGAUAACUUAUGUUUAUCUCGUCUUUUAGCUGAACAGAACGAAGCCAGACCGUGGAAGGUUGCCAAAUUUUGUUACAUUGUGGGUAGGAUAUAUCUGGAGGUUAUGAAUACUUCUUAGUUGGUUAUUUUUCCAAUGUUAAUUAUAAUCUUGUUCCUUUAUUUUCUUUUGUAUUUGUUAUAUCGAUAUUGAUAUUUGCAUUUUGUGUGUAUGUGUUUUCUGGUCAAUGACUAUAAUAAAAUUGAACUGAACUGAA